rnacentral:rRNA from 1 species
CCUACGGGUGGCAGCAGUGGGGAAUAUUGGGCAAUGGGCGCAAGCCUGACCCAGCAACGCCGCGUGAAGGAAGAAGGCUUUCGGGUUGUAAACUUCUUUUCUCAGGGACGAAGCAAGUGACGGUACCGGAGGAAUAAGCCACGGCUAACUACGUGCCAGCAGCCGCGGUAAUACGUAGGUGGCAAGCGUUAUCCGGAUUUACGGGGUGUAAAGGGCGUGUAGGCGGGACUGCAAGUCAGAUGGGAAAACCACGGGCUCAACCUGUGGCCUGCAUUUGAAACUGUAGUUCUUGAGUACUGGAGAGGCAGCCGGAAUUCCUAGUGUAGCGGUGAAAUGCGUAGAUAUUAGGCGGAACCCCCGUGGCGAAGGCGGUCUGCUGGACAGCAACUGACGCUGAGGCGCGAACGCGUGGGGAGCAAACAGGAUUAGAUACCCGGGUAGUC